ACAGUGCUGUGUUUAGUCAUUCCUCCCAAUGCCAGUGAUCCCUUAAAUCUGGGUGUUGUCCAUCAUCAUCCCUGCCCGUCUCCGUGCAUCCACAACUGCCACAUCCUGAGAGCUCAGUCCAUCAGAAAUGCAAUUAUAGCCUUUUACCUCCUCCUCACCAGAUACUCUCUACAGGGCAAGUUCAUCAAACUGUGUGCUUAGAAGCUCUGGAGCAGAACUCUCACCCACCAGAAGAUUGCCUCAAGAGAUAAAAGAUGAUUUACAACCCAAAGUAUGCCCACUAGAGGUUUUGGCCAUUUUUACAAUGUAUUCCUGCCCAUGAAGAUGCCAACUUGACUGCCCAAUACAUAAAGCACCAAAGCAGAAUCUGUUUGGAACAAAGACUCGCAGAGAAGCAUACCUCUAGAUCAACCAAACG
rnacentral:lncRNA from 1 species